rnacentral:rRNA from 1 species
AACGAACGCUGGCGGCACGCUAACACAUGCAAGUCGAACGGUAGGUAUAGUUUACUAUACUGAGAGUGGCGGACGGGUGAGUAACGCGUGGGAACCUGCCCUGUAGUUUGGGAUAACCAUGGGAAACUAUGGCUAAUACCGGAUAAGCUCGAGAGAGGAAAGAUUUAUCGCUAUAGGAUGGGCCCGCGUCAGAUUAGGUAGUUGGUAGGGUAAUGGCCUACCAAGCCGAUGAUCUGUAGCUGGUCUGAGAGGAUGGCCAGCCACACUGGGACUGAGACACGGCCCAGACUCCUACGGGAGGCAGCAGUGGGGAAUAUUGGACAAUGGGGGAAACCCUGAUCCAGCGAUGCCGCGUGAGUGAAGAAGGCCUUCGGGUUGUAAAGCUCUUUCACCUGAGACGAUAAUGACGGUAUCAGGAGAAGAAGCACCGGCUAACUCUGUGCCAGCAGCCGCGGUAAGACAGAGGGUGCUAGCGUUGUUCGGAAUGACUGGGCGUAAAGGGCGCGUAGGCGGUUAUCUAAGUCAGGCGUGAAAGCCCCGGGCUCAACCUGGGAACUGCGUUUGAUACUGGAUGGCUAGAGUGCGGAAGAGGAAAGUGGAAUUCCUAGUGUAGAGGUGAAAUUCGUAGAUAUUAGGAGGAACACCAGAGGCGAAGGCGGCUUUCUGGUCCGCAACUGACGCUGAGGCGCGAAAGCGUGGGGAGCAAACAGGAUUAGAUACCC